rnacentral:rRNA from 1 species
GCCUACGGCCUGCCGCCCUGAGAGCGGCCGGUCUCGCCUGAUCUCGGAAGCUAAGCAGGGUCGGGCCCGGUUAGUACUUGGAUGGGAGCCCGCCUGGGAAUACCGGGUGCUGUAGGCU